rnacentral:snoRNA from 1 species
ACCUGCAUUCGAAAGUGAUCAUGGGCUGCUUGUGUCCUGGUCAUUGAUAGUGCAGGGAGAGGAACUGCUGAAAGCAUUUCCCCGUGUUUGGUGGGUCCAUUCUUACCCUUCCAAACCCUGAAGCUUUCACACA